CACCUCGCAAAUCAGCUGUGAAGUGAUGACCUCCUCUCUCCGCGGCCCCGAGUCCUGUGCCUCUGCUACCUGUUAUUUGGCCUUCUGUGGCAAUGAGCUGGGUUUGCCUUGGAUGCAUGACUCCGCGGCUAUGCGAGUCUGCAAAGGGGACUUUACCACCUGCGCCUCAGUGAACACAGCCCACGGCUUUGCUCAUGGAGGCCCUAAGGACGUUAUAGAUUUUGCAGGUGACCCAAGAAAAACAUCUUGAGGGCCUCCUGCCUUUGUACACUUGAGCAGUGUUAGCCACAACUCAUGACCGCGGAGCUCCACCAGCUAUGCUUUGUUUCUCUUUGGAGAGGAUGCCGGGCAUCUUAGACCCGCAAGGACUGGAAGAGCGAUGUUAUACUCUCAACCCAGUAGGUAAAUGCAUUUUGGAAAACCACCUUGAAAAGAGGUGCACUUAAUUAGACUGUUAUUUCUUAUCCUAGCAGCUGCAAGUUUCUCUAGUUGCAGAACUGAAAGGUAACAUAGGAAGUCUAUUUCAGAGAUUUUAUUCUUUAUACUAACUUGGCUCCAGAAUCUUACAAAAGUGACACAUUCUUAGCAAGGUCAGAGAACACAGGACGAAACUCUGACCCAAAGUGAAUGUUAUGGGUGGAAGUAUAUUCUAUCAUUUCAAAUUCUGUUUAGUGAAGUUUCACCCACAAUUAUCAGUUUUUAUGCUCUUGUUCGCUCCUUAUUUCUUUCAUAAAUUUCCAUCUCCUGUAUGGUAUAGAAAAUAGUUACUAGCAUUAUGAGGUUGAACUGUCUCCAGGUUCAAAUAAUCUGGUUUCAGGUAAAGUUGCUAUAAAUAUUUUGUUCAAAUUUGGUAGAGAAAAAGAAAACUUGGAAAUUGAGUCUCUUACCUUUAAAAUGGUAUUGGAAUUUAGGCUUCAUAAUGUUUUAGUAUUCUAUUGAGUUAAAGCUAGGAAAAUAUUUCUUUUAAAAUUAUUUCCCUCCAAUGAUCAGCUUUUAUUUAGUUGUAACUCUUCACCUUGUAUUUAACCUGAAAAGGCAGUGAUACAUAUGUGAUAGGGCCUAAAAUGUAGCCAUGAAACAUGAGAUUAUUCCUUCAUGCACUCAUGUAUGCACACACACAAUUUUUUUUUUUUUGAGAAUGUUCAAACCUACAGAGAAAUAGAAAGAAUAGUGCAAUGAAUGCUCACCCACAAACCACCUGAAUUUAACAAUUGUUAACAUUUUUUCAUAAAAUAAAUUAUUCAUUACAUAAUUAUGUGUAUGUGCUUCAGCUUUCCCUCCAAAAAGUGAAUAUUUGCCUAUCUAUAUUACCACAGUUUGAGUAUUAUCUCUAAUAGAGUCAACAGUAAUCAUCUAAUCUCAUCUAACAGCCAACUCAUUUUCACUUUCUUCUUUCAGUUGUGCCAAACUGUGACUAUUUAUUAGUUAUUAGUGAAACCAUUAUCAUAAGAUCAGAGACAUGAGAACAUGGUACAAUCACUUACUUGAUAUAAGUCAGGAAUAUAGAUUGGUAGCAGAACAUAAUUUAAGCCAGAAAAUGUGUAGUAAUUAUUUAUUCACUUGGAAACACUUCUCUCCCCAGGUUACACUGGCUCCUGGAGAAAUUGAGUGAUCAACCAGAAUCAACUUGAGCCCCCAAUCUGGUCAUCAUAGGGCUCUGACGCCGCCAUAACUUCUGUGUCUCUAGUGCAGAGGGGAAAAUACCAUCGAGAGAGGCCUUCAGACACUCCUGCAGAUGGAUAGUCAGUUAUUCCCACACCAUUUAUUGAGUAGUCCAUUCUUUCCUCAAUACCUUGAAAUCAUACCACAGAACUAUAAAAAUAAUGAAUGAAAAUAGGUGGACAUAAUUUUGUCAUGUUAAGGAGGGGAAAGAUUUUCAAAGCAAGAUGGUGAUAUUUGUGCUUCUCAUCUCAGCCUGGUCGCCUGACCUUGACUCCAGAAUUCUGUGAUCCCUCCACAACUGCAAGUCAUUCUCAUACAAAACUUGAGUUUACCUAGUCUGCACCUUUGAGAGUUUGGGAACAAUAUGCAAGUUCAAGUCGCCAUCAUGUUGUCUUGCUGAAUAUCUCAUGUAACAAGAUCAAUAUUUUUGUUUCUUGCUUCUACCCUUGUUCUUCUGUCUGUUGCCCCCUCUACAGCUGUCAGUCACACACGUGGAGUCUUGCAAAAGCUGUUUGCCCUUUUUAUAUGUCCUGUGAAUGUUGUCAUUUGCUUCUCGUAUAUUACAAAUUAGUGUUGUGUACCACUUAGUGAUAUAAAGCAUUCAAUAAUUGUAAAUUUGCAUAAGUUUGGGUAAGAAUAGCAUCCAAUCAAAAGGCAAAAAGGUAGAUGAUAGAAACAGAUUCGAGACAAGUGAAGAGGGCAGGAAAGGUGAUGUCUAUUGCAAAAAAAAA